ACCAUCGGCUUUGCCUCUCCUUCUUCCUCCUACACAAAUAUAACAAACCAAACUCUUACAAAUAUGCAACCUCCUCUCCUCAAUCAGAUCAAGAACACAACAAUCUCUACAAAUCUUCAAAUAUGCUUACAAUUUCACAAUAAUCUCUACAAAAACAUGACCCAACUCUGAUAAAAACCUAACCCCCCUUUCUCUCCUCUAUUUCUCUGUAAUAAAAAACAGAACUAGCUUCUACAAAAGCAUCCACCGUUGGACUACCGUGGUGGCGGAAUCAUGUGACGGAGAGACGGUGUGUCUGUGAUGUUGACGGAGAGGAAAGGAAGCGGCUGGGGCGAUUCCUGAGGCUGAAGAAGAUGACGGCAGGAGGCACUCUGGCGGCGAGUUUAGGGUUUUUCUGGGAACCCUAAGAAUGUUGACGGCGACAGUUCCAAAAGAUGAAUAAAAGGGGUCCGACGAGUAUUCCGGCCGCAAGCAAACCAGGGUUCCGGUGAUGGUGGACGGCGACCUCAGAGCGUCUUCAUAGUCAGAUCCUAGCAACAUGCCCCUCUACACAAAGGAGGUUUAACUGCUUGUGACGUCAUCAUGAAAGUGACCUUCAACAACUUCAUUAAAUGAUGUAACUUCCAUCAAUUGUGAGAAGUGCUGGAUUGUUACAUUGUUUCAUUGAACUACUGCAUCUUUCGAGAAAUAGAGUGAACUGCUGGGGAAUAAAUAAUUUCUAGAUUGAAGGAAUCAGUGUUUCCAAUCAUUGGCUUCUUAGCCAUUUCAGUCAAGUUCAACCUCAUAGUCUCAAAUCCAAGAGCACAAAAGAACAAGACGCAGCAGUUGAACGAAGAGGCUAGACACUUCAAACCGCUGGGGAAUAAAUAAUUUCUAGAUUGAAGGAAUCAGUGUUUCCAAUCAUUGGCUUCUUAGCCAUUUCAGUCAAGUUCAACCUCAUAGUCUCAAAUCCAAGAGCACAAAAGAACAAGACGUAGCAGUUGAACGAAGAGGCUAGACACUUCAAUCAUGCUCAUGUGAAAGGGUGUCCAAUGCCUCUUAUGUACACUGUAGUGGCUCGCCUCUUAUGAAAUUCUCAUGAGUUCAAGAUAUUUGGGCCAGGGGGAGCUGAAGCGUUUAAGGUAGAUAGAAAUGAUGAAGAAAACAAAAAAUGUCUUCUAACCAUGGAUAUUGAUGAGAUUCUUGCGAGAGCAGAUGUAUAUGAGGCAUGUAUUUGGUACAAGGGUGAAAGGGCCUGAUUGGAAACUGGGCUGGGCUCCAUCUUUAUUAGAUAUAUGUUAGUUAAAUUGGAUCUAUUUCCUUUUGCAAAUAUUAAUUUGUAUGACUUGAUUUUUUAAAGCAUGUAAAGUACCUGAGAUUGCGACAGAAUGUUUUCCUCUGCUCAAUUAAAAGCAUGUUUUUUCCUU
rnacentral:lncRNA from 1 species